CCCCCCCCCCACACCUCCUCGCUACGCCUCUGAUUUCAAUCAAAACAUUUACAUGUAGAAAAAAGUUGUCUAUUUAGUUUUGAGAAUGCAAGCAUUUAAAUUUGAAACUUGAAAAAGUUAUCUUUUUUGUUUUAAGAAUCUAAGAAUUUAAAGAAAAAAGUAAUCUAUUUUGUUUUGAGAUUUGUAAUCAAAACAUAAAAUGUUUAUUUUGUUUUGUUGAAUGUAGAUGGAUAGAAAUUUGAAACAGCUGAAUUUGUAUAGGGUAAAAAAUGUGUCUUAAUUGUGUAACUAGGUGCAUUUUGUCAAAUUUUAGUCUAAUUGUGUAACUAGGUGCAUUUUGUCAAAUUUUAGUCUAAUUGUGUAACUAGGUGCAUUUUGUCAAAUUUAAGUCUAAUUGUGUAACUAGGUGCAUUUUGUCAAAUUUAAGUCUAAUUAUGUAACUAGGUGCAUUUUGUCAAAUUUAAGUCUAAUUGUGUAACUAGGUGCAUUUUGUCAAAUUUUAGUCUAAUUGUGUAACUAGGUGCAUUUUGUCAAAUUUAAGUCUAAUUGUGUAACUAGGUGCAUUUUGUCAAAUUUUAGUCUAAUUGUGUAACUAGGUGCAUUUUGUCAAAUUUAAGUCUAAUUGUGUAACUAGGUGCAUUUUGUCAAAUUUAAGUCUAAUUGUGUAACUAGGUGCAUUUUGUCAAAUGUAAGUCUAAUUGUGUAACUAGGUGCAUUUUGUCAAAUGUAAGUCUAAUUGUGUAACUAGGUGCAUUUUGUCAAAUGUAAGUCUAAUUGUGUAACUAGGUGCAUUUUGUCAAAUUUAAGUCUAAUUGUGUAACUAGGUGCAUUGUUUAUCCAUUAUGCCCAUCAGUUGAUGGGUUGUGGGAUUAAUAAUUUAAUUUGGUCAUACAUAGUAGGUGUUGUUUGAAUGGUUAGAUUAAUUCAUGUGUGUGGAUGAUUUCUAACUGGCUAAAAUUGUGUGUGGUUUAAUUAUUGUAAAUUUAGUUGUGUGGUUUAUUGAUUGUAGAUUAUUGUCCACAAAAAUGAUCUCUGCCAUUUUUAUGGCUACAUAUUUGAUGUAAAUAUAUUUUUUCAAUGAUUCUUUAUGACUUACAUUCCAAAUGUUAUACAUAUUAAGGAAAUUUACGCUCAAUUUUUAACUAGAAAAUUUGGGUUAAAAAAAUGACUGUUGUUGAUUGAAAAUGUCCUUAGCUACCUUUUAACAAUGGCCACUCUUGUUGGUCUAACUCAUUAACUUCAGUUAGAAAUAUUUUUAAAAAAUCCUUUCUUCCGUACAAAACCAAGUUUUUCAUGCUAAUGUUACAAUAAGUUACAUGUUAAAAGAAUAUGACACUUAAAAACUAAGUCCUGUUUAUUCCAUUGCUAUCUGGAUGUGUGCAUUAAUUUUACUACAACUAUCUUGUUCAAUUCAUUGAAAAUUUGGCCAGAGAUGUGUGGGCUCUAAAAAAAAAAUCCAACAACUUGUUUCUUUCUGAGCAUAAUGGUUGUUAAUUGUUUUAGCAUUUUGUUUCAAUAUGUUUUCUUAGAAUGCCUUUAUUUAUUAAGUUACUUCUUAAACUUAAGGUCUUAAGUAUUGUUUGCAUUUUAUUUUGACAUCGCUCUGAUUUGCUUCCUUUCGUGCUAGUUUCAAAGUGCCUUUUAUCAUUUUUUUUACAGAUUUGCUCAAAACAAUUGAGCAUGUUUGGCUCCCCCAGAUGGCCAUCCAGCUCUAUAGCUCCCAUCAUUAACAAACAUCAGUUGUAUUUUAACCUGUUAUAUCUAAGGUGAUUGUCCAAGCCAGUCUAACAAUCAAUGCCUUUGGUCAGUGCCUUUAGGAAGUGAGUCAACACUUGUCUGACCCCCACCUCUUACAUCCCCCCCCCCCCA